rnacentral:lncRNA from 10 species
AUGCUGGCACUUUCCAAUUAGGCAACAGUUCUUCAUUCCUGUAAUCUAAGACAUUGGAUACAGAUAUACAUAUAUGUAUGGUUAAUCUCUUGAUGUCAGAAAAUGGUACUAAACAAGCAGGUAUUCAAUAAAAUAAAAAAAUAAUGAUUUUAGCUGAUCAUAACUUGAGAACUAAAUUAUGCUAAACAGCUACAGUAACAGUGCUAUUUUAAAUUCCCUUUAAAAAUGUUUUAAAAAAUCAAAAAUAGAAGUUUACAAGAGGAGUCUAUAACUGAUCAACUUGAAUUAUCCUCAGUUAUACUUAGUUAUACUCAAUUAUAGUGUUUCCCAUUACAUCUGACAAUCCUGUCUGUACAAAGGAAGACAAUGAUAUUUUUAUUCUAUCUCAUUACCAUCUUAUUUUUACUUUCCUUUUUUACUGAAGGACACACCUGCCUCCAUAAACUUUCCAUAAGAUAUUCUUUAUUCAAGCAUUUUAUGAUUAUAUAUUAGAAUUACCAUUUCUAAUACAGGUUAAGGCAAGGGAUGAUACAGAAAGAGCUAAUCCCCAUAGUCAAGAGCAGAAGAAUCAAAGUUAGUCUUAUUGUCAACAGACAAGAAUCAGGUAAAAUAAUCCACAUGAUGAAUUUCUCUCAGAUGUCUUUAAAACUGGGACAUAUAAAAAGGAGAUUAACAUGAUUCAAUACAAUUUUGCCUAAAGGCUAUGGACUAGAUAAGGUGGCCUCAGAGUUCAUGUACUCUUACUAAAAACGUUUAUAAUUUCUAUUUAAAUCUAUCCUGUAUCUCAGUACUUUUAAAAGUACAGGAACAACAUGGCACUUCAAAUCUACAAUCACACUAAAAUGUAUGCAAAGCAGUCUGAUUGCUAAGUCACCUAUUAUUUGGUAUUAUCAAACAUCCACAGAGAUCUUGGAUGACUUAUUAAGUAAACUUUAUCACACAUCAGAGUCUAAGAAUUUAUGCAAGCAAGACUAAAGUCUUAUUCCAGAUCUAGGUCAAGAUUUAUCUUCUCUAAGGUAAAACUCACAAGGGACUGUCACAUUGUUGGGUGUGUAUAAAUGAAUUUUAAAAAUCGUAAUAGGCCAGGAGAUGGCACCUUUUCCUUUAACAUAAGCUAAAAGGAUAUUUUGUGAGAACUGGAAAUUAAAUUAGGGCCAGCCAUGGUAAUGAGCUGUCAAUAAGCCAGUCAACUAUAACAGAGUUAAAUAAUAUAGUAUUUAAGAACUGGAACUGGAGUCUUCAUUUUCUCUAUCUUUGCACCUUUACCUAAACAAAUACAUACACCAGUAAUCUUAAUAAUCACUUUCAGGGAACUGAUGAUUUAAAGUUAUAGAAUCAAGGCCAGGCGCGGUGGCUCACGCCUGUAAUCCCAGCACUUUGGGAGGUCGAGGCAGGUGGAUCGGAUCACCUGAGGUCAGGAGUUUGAGACCAGCCAGGCCAAUGUGAUGAAACCUUGUCUCUACUAAAAAUACAAAAAUUAGCCAGGCAUGGUGGUGCACACCUGAAGUCCCAGCUACUCAGGAGGUUGAGGCAGGAGAAUAGCUUGAACCCAGGGAGGCAGAGGUUGCAGUGAGCAGAGUGUGCCACUGUACUCCAGCCUGGGUGACAAGGCGAGACUCCGUCUCAAAAAAAAGAAAAAAAGUUAUUGAAUUAAGAUUUCAUUAAAAGCCUAAAGCAAACAUUAGCCAGAUGCUGUCUUUCCUAAAUCUGACUACCAGAGAUAAUCCCUAGGCCCUUUUCUCCUUUCUGCCCAUUUUUCCUCUAUGUACCUUCAUUUAAAAAAGGAACUACAAUUACUCAGGUGUUUCCCUUAAUAGAGAGAUUCAUAUCUCUAAGGAAGCACACAGUAGUUAAUUGGGAGCUCUUAAGGGAUAAUCUACUAAAUAGACCAAGAGACUUACAAGAGUUAGUGUAACCAACUUUCCAGUGGGACCAGUUUACUCCAACUGGAGACCAAGUUUAGUAAUAAUCAUGUAAUAAGCACCAAAUUAUGUAAUAAAUCCACUCCAUGAAAAUAAUCUUUUAUGGUAUUAUUUAUAGAACUGAUUAAGUAGAAACCUUCAGGGGAUUUAAAUACAAUACAAAUUAAAGAAAAAAGUCCCCAUAGAUCCUGGUUUCUCACUUGAGAGUCAGCUUAAAUGCUGUCAUAAAUUUCUUUCCAAUGGGGUCACUUAGUGGAAACUAAAAUGGUAAAGUCAACUAAUACUUAGAAGCCCAAAUAGAAAACCUUUAUUUGAAAGAAGUUGACUCAUACCAGAGAGGGAAAUAACUACCAAAAUUACACUGAUACACCACCACACAUCUCCUGGAAUGGGUCAAGUUAAGAAGACUGACAAUAUCAAUUUUGGGGAGAAUGUAGAACUCAAAAACCGUUGCAGGGUGUGUAAACUGGUACAGCCACUUUGAAAAACUUUUUAGCAGUAUCUACUAAAGCUGUCCAUAUGUAUAGUAUAUGAUCUGGCCAUUCCAUUCUUAGAUAUAUACCCAACAGAAAUGCAUGUACAUGUGCACAAAGACAUAUAGGAAUGUGCACAGAAUUAUUCAUACUAAUUCCCCCAAAGAAAGAACUUAAAUGAACACCAACAGAAGAAUACAUAAACAUACUGCCAGUACUGUCAUGCAAUAAAAAUGAACUACUGAUACAUUUAACAUAAAUAAUUCUCAAAAACAUAUUUUGGAGUGCAAGAAGCCAGACACAGGAAAUACACUACGUUUUUGUUUAUGUAAAGUUCAAAGAGAGGCAAAACUAAUCCAUGGAGUUAGAAAUCAGGGCAGAGUUUUAAUUUAAUUUGGGGAAGGGUGACUCUUGUUGUUAUAUACGGGUAUGUCACUUUGGGAUAAUUCACCAAAUGUGCACUUAAACUUUUUCAGAGCAACUACUGUUUCACUUCAAUUAAGAAUGAAUUUGGGAGUCAUCUAGGAAGGCGUUCUAUUCAUUCAACUACUAUUUUUUAAAACCCAACUCUGUAUCAAGCACUGGGGACACAGUGGCAAGAAAAAACAGAAAUGGUCCCUGCUGUCAGAGAGCUUAGAAUCUCAAGGGGAGAGGGCAAGUUAUCCAACAGAUGACGUACCUACAAGUUAUAUAUCACAUUUACAAGUUACAGAAGCUUAGAAAUACCAUAACAGAUGAAAUGGGAAGUAGCUAAAGUCUGGAAAAAGCCAAAAUAGGAGCAUGAGAAAGGCACUUGUUCUGCUUUUAGCAUCUUACCUGGCUCAGAGCUGCUGCUGACUAUGGGCCUAGAGCAGCAGACAUGAUUUCUUUUUAGGCUUCUUCUUUUCCACUGGUGUUUUCCUAUUUAUCUGUCUGACCAGGUCAUAAAAUAUCUAAGUAAAAACAAGAAAAAAAGUACUUACUCCACCAGUUUUUGAGACUUUGUUCCACAAAACAAUUCUGGUAAGUACUAUUCUGGUCUUAGAUCUGCAUUCUGCUUCUUUCUUUUAAAGUCAGGUUUGUUAGAAGGCUCUGCUGACUUUCAAUCAGGGUAGAAAGCAGGACUUACCUAUUUAUAAUGAAGGAAAUGCCCUUGCUCCUAGAUAUUCGACAUCAAAUCAAGAAAAAGAACUGGUAGUGAAAAAUAGUGAAAACUCCAAACCAACGGAAAAGUUGCAAAAAUAGUACCAACAACUUCGGUUCUAUUCUUCCCAGAUUCACCAAUUAGUAACAUUUUGCCACUUUUACUACACAUACAUACACACACACGUGCACACACACACACUUUCUGAAUCAUCUGAGAGUAGACCUUAACUAUUAAGUCCUUUAACAGUUAAGUUGUUCCUAAGAACAAGGAUAUUCUCUUACAUAAACACGUUAUAGUUAUUGCACUUGAGACAUUUAAGGAUUGACACAUUAUUUUGUAUAACUACAGAGCAAAUUCCAAUUUUGUCAACUGCCCCAAUAAUGUACUUUAUAGUAACUUUCCCCUCCAAGGACAGGAUCCAUUCAGGAUCACACAUUGCAGUUUAUUUCCUCUCACUUUAGUUUUUAAAAAUCUGGAACAGUUCUUUGGCCUUUGCCUUUCAGGACAUUGUCAUUUCUGAAAAAUAAAGGCUAGUAACUUCCCUUGAUUUGGGUUUAUCUGAGGUUUUCUCGUGAUUAGAUUCAGGUUAUAUACAUUUUUGUCUAAAAUAGGACAAAAGAGAUACUGUCUCCCUUUCAAGGUAUCACAUGCGGAGGCGCAUGAUUUUUGUUUGCCUUUUUUUGAUGUUAAUUUUGGUUAAACGUAAAAAGUAGAAAAAGUCUGCUAAUCCUUGAUUUGAAAUAACAAAUAUUUGUGGUUUUUAGUUUGUUUGUUUUGUUUUGAGACAGAGUCUUGCUCUGUCACGCAGGCUGGAGUGCAGUGGUGCAAUCAGCUCACUGCAACUUCCACUUCCCAGGCUCAAGUGAUCCUUCCAUCUCAGCCUCCCGAACGGCUGGGAGCUACAGCGUGCACCACGACACCCAGCUAAUUUUUGUAUUUUUCGUACAGACAAGGGUUUUGCAAUGUUGUCCAGGCUGGUCUCAAACAUCUGAGGUCAAGUGAUCUGGCUGCCUCAGCCUCCCAAAGUGCUAAGAUUUUAGGUGUGAGCCACUGUGCCCAGCCCAAAUAAUGUUUGUUAAUACAUCUUGUGGAUUCAUUUUUGGAUGAAAAGUGCAAAGUAUCAAAGACAAAAAUACAAUGCUACUUAUCUCAUAAAAGCAGACUAUUUUAAUUCUGAUGCCAAAGUAUUAAAACAUGAAACAGAUAAGCUUUGCUAUGAAAUACAACACUUACUAAUGAUUUGGAAUAAAAACAAAUAUCACAGAAGUCCCUUAUUGAUACUAAUCUGGAAUAAAUAAUUCUUUGCAGUAUAUUAAAAAAUGGACUGGCUUUAAGGAGCAUUACAGGGACAACUGGUAAAAUCUGAAUAUAUACCAAACACAGACUGUGUCAUCAAUUUUUAGGAUUCUAAUCAUUGUGCUGUGGUUGUGUAAGACAAUGUCUUUGAUCUGAGGAUACAUACACUAAAAUAUUUAGGGGUAAAGAAGUGUAAUUUCUGUAAACAAGUGGCAAAAUUUUAAUAAUGGGUGAAUCUGAUGAAGGGUAAACAAAUUCUUCUUUAUUGUUCUUACAUCAUUUGAGUACAUUUUAAGAGUAAAAUAUUUUUAAAUUAUCGGUCUACAUGUAUUUUAAGAUAGAUGGCAAAUAAUUGUAUUUCUUUAAAAUGAUAAUUACCUAUUUCCUUUUUUAAAUGGUCCAGACUACAAGACUAAAUUAACCGUUAAAAAAAAACCUGAAUGAUUUAUCCAAAAGCUACAAAAGUGACUCAUUUAAAUUCUUUUCUUUCUGCUCCAUUCUUCCCACUCCCAUCCUCUUCAAAUCAUUUAACUCUCUGUCAUCUUAUUUCUAAAGAAAGUCUGAAAACAGAAUUUAUAAACAAAAUUGUAGUUUCUGUUUUACAACUCCGAAGUCCAAGUUGUUUCAAAACUCUGAAAACUUCAAGAACUCAAUGUGCUUAAGCCACAAAUGAGUUUUCAUUAGUUCCCUAUACUCAAUGCAUAAGCUAUAAGAUAAAAAAAUAAUAAAAGUAAACUAAAACAGUAAGUUAAUAAAAAUUACAAGUAGUUUCUAUUUCAGUUUCUUCAUACUAGCCAGUUUCUGGUUUCUGGUACUAUAUAGAAAGGUAACUAAUGCUUGUAGUAUUAUUCUAAAUUAUUUCUUUGGAAAACAUUGCCUACCUCACAGCAGCAGAUGGUUCAGUGAUGAGGGCAAGUUCGAACUAUAAUAUUUGGUUAGAAAUGCUGAAAGGCCCCAGCCUAGGUUCUUCCUCAUCUCUCUGAACUAUAGAAAAAUCUAAAGGGAACACAGAAUAGAGUUUCUCAAUCCCUCUCCCAUUCCUAAAUUGGGUUGUCUUGAUUCCAAUUACUAUUCCAGCCUCAGCAAAGAACAAUUAAUUCUUGAUUAAGACUACUGUGAUUCUGGCAUAGCCAUAUACUACUUUAAGAACGUUGCAAAGUGGUGUGAAUAAGAGUUUUUGAAAAAUUAUAUAUAUAUAUAUAUGAAUGAAUUAGGGGGCUCUUUAGCCAAGCAGUAUGUCCUGGUGUCUGUUUUCAAAUUUAAGGCCAAGAGGUGAAUUUUUGAAAGUAUCUCUCUAUACUUCAGGCAUUCAAAACUCACAAAAAAAUUUACAAGGCAAAAGUUGUGUGAGGAACUAUUAACUACCAAAGAAAUCCUGUAGCUGGAUUAUUGGGUUAUAAAGAGAAAAAUAUUAAAAGAAACUCAAAUUAUCUGCUCCAUUCUCCCCACUCUCAAGAACUGAGCAUAAAGUUUGUAUGUUUUCCAAAAAGUAAAGAUUCUUGAGAUGGCUAAUGCAUUUCAUUUUAUGGUUUUUCUAUGUUUGUUUUUAUAAACCCUCGUUUAUAAACUCUCUGCUUUAACAAGACUGCUAUGAAAAAGUAUCUCUGCUGCAUUGGAAACUAAUCCAGAGGAAGUUUAAUAGCAUGUAGGUUCUCACAAACAUGUAGUGUACUGUCCUCUGGCUCCCAAAGGGAGAAGUCCUAUGCACUGGACUCAGGCCCAACCCAGCCCCACCGGAGCCUGGAGUCUGAUGAACUUGGUUGGUGGGUCCCAUGGAGGUAAGGACAAGGACAGCAAGGAACCACAUCCCGUAAGGCCAAUUAUCUUGUAGAUAGUGACCUCAUGUCACUGUUCUGCUAGCCAAACAUAUUCACAAUUUCUAACAAAUUCUUUAUCAAAAUCACUUUUUUUCUUUAAUUAUUGCUGAAAGACUUGUUCCCCCAGUAGGAUGCAAACUUCUUCAGGGCAGGAAUAGUGUCUGUCUGAGUGACUGUUACCUGAGGGCCUGACACAGUGCCAGACACACAAUAGUCAAUAAAUAUUUGCUGAAUAAAUACAAUUUAUAAAUUUCUUGUUUUUAUGUACUUGUUAAAAAUGGUUUCACAUAAAAAAACAAGCUUUGGCAUUCUUGAUUAUCUGUAAAAUACAGAAGUUGAAGCAAGCUUAAUUUUUUUUUACCUGCCAGGUGUUUAAAGUAACCUGGUCAUUUUUAAAAGUCAAAUAGUCUAUAAGCAUAAUAUUAGUCAAGAAAAAGUGGCCAGCAGAACCACAGGCCAGAGAGAAUAGCAAAAACAGAGGACUCAUAACUUAACCCACUCUCACUCUCACCUAUGUAGUUAAGUGAUCUGAAUUCUGACUGAUUACCUGUAAUGCUACAAAUGGCAAAAGCAACGGCAGGAAAGAAGCCCACUCUGUUGUUUUUAUUUUUUUAAAAGGCUUAUGUUAAGGUUAACAAAAGCAAGGGAACUAUUUAAGGUUGACUGGUGGGGACAGUUGGAAAUUGCUCUAAAUUUUUAGGGGCCCAGUAAACUAGUAAACUGUUGGCCCUUUACACCCAGGCAUGCAGCUUAUUUGCUAAGUAUUCUUGUCCACAGCUGUUUUCAAGAUAGUGGAGUGCUUAACCCAGUGACCCCACCCCCAUGCCCCACACAAAAGCCUUGUGCAUCAGCUGUAUCAGGCCUAAAGGACUGAGUGAAUUCCAGGUACAUGUCCAUACCCACACAGAUUACCCACUUAUGAGUCAUGCACCAAAGGUGAGGUAAGACUCAGAACACAAUUCUGUGAUAUCCAUAAAAACAUAUUAUUUUCCAACUUGACUUUACAACCUAUUUAUAUACAUUUGGGUAAAUAAUUAUUACAAUAUAAGGUGAUGUAACAAUUUUUACACACCACUUUAUCGCAUAUCACUUAGAGGCUUAGCAGGAUUUUACACACAUUCUUCAAUUUUAGCUUCCUCUUUUACAAUAAGGUAAAUUUAAGUAUCCUCAUACAGCCAUCAAAGUGACCUUAUGCAAGCUAAAAAAUAUAGUUUCCAGGAAUUACUUAGUGUUUCCUAUAAAAUUAUGGAAUCAAGAUUGCUUAAAAGAUAAAAAUUUUUUCUUAAAAGUCUGGCUGUUAACUUAAAGCAAACUAAAAAGGCACUUGUUUGUGCUGCCCAGCAGUUGUAGGUUACCUCAUUAACAUUGAUCUUUGACUUUGCAGAAGAUUCUAAAAAGGCACAGUUACACCACUGUCUUGCUAAAUUCUGGCCCUGCUCUUUGCCAACUACUCGCUCAUCUUCCAGGUCACAUUUAUUGCCAACCAAAAUCAUUGGAACCUGUGGGAAGAAAAAAACGUAAAAUGAACAAUAACAUACUCAUUACUUAGCCUUUUAAAAAAAUAAAUAAGCAAUUAUCUGCCACCAACUGAAAUGCAUUAGUUGGGACCGCAAGCUUCAUCAAAUACUAACGAAAAGUAUAUGUUGAGGGGAAGAGGCGAAGGAAGAAGGAAGAGACAAAAAAAAAAAAAAAAUGGAAGAGAUCCUACUACAUAGAUAUGCCAAAUUAUUUUAAGAAUAUAAUCCUGGCCAGGCACAAUGGUUCAUGCCUGUAAUCCCAGGGAGGCUGAGGUAGGAGGACUGCUUGAGCUCAGGAGCCUGAGACAAGCCUGGGUAACAUAGUGAGACCUGGUCUCUACUAAAAAAUUCAAAAACAAUC